ensembl:snoRNA
GGAUCAAUGAUGAGCACAAUUGUCUGAGGAUGCUGAGGGACUCAUUCCAGAUGUCAAUCUGAGGUCC